ensembl:lncRNA
CUGGAAAGAAUAAUUUAUUUAUUAGUAUGUUUGCAUCAAUACAGAUUAAUACAUUUUGCUUAUAAAAUGUAGUUUAAUAUCUCAUGGUUUCUUUUGAAAAGGAGGUCAAAUAUGAUCCAGCAUCUUUGUGAAACGUUUCUGCUGUACUAACCAGCUCUUGACAGGUACAGAUCUGAAGGACAGGGGCUCAUGCAGAACCUUUCCUGCUUUUAUCACCGUUGUGCCCUUGAACGAUGAACUCAGUAGUGUGCUGGUCUAGAUGAGUGAACUGGUGACAACUGCACCGUAAAGCCUGAAGUAUAGGUAUACUUCACAUCUUUGUUAUCUGCAGCGGUCAGGAGACCUGCACUGCACUCCAGGACUGUGUUUUGGCCUGGUAAGAUAGUAAUGAAAUGAACCCAUAAAGCUGUGCUUUACUACACUUACUUUAGAAGAGCUACGGGUCAUUGUUAGGCAUGACUUGGAGUGGCGCUACUCUAAAAUCACUGUAAACACCACUUCACAGGGCAUACAGGUUUUAUAGAAUGGUUAUUACAUAUAGUUGGAAAGGUAAAAUAAACACAGCAAUACAAAAUGUAAUCAUUUAUUAAACAUAUAAUAAUCCUUCCACCAAGCAGUUUAGUUCUUCAGCAGUGUUUAGCAGAAUGGUUGCCAAGGUUCCACACAGCAAAAAUUGGAGAGUUGAAAUUUCAGUGUUAAACAUUUCGGAGUUGAUUUCAACACCCAAAGAGUAAUUUAAACACAUUCAGAGUAAAAUGAUGUUUGGUGUUGGAGUUAUUUCACAGAGUUGAUCAUCAGUGUUAAACAAACUCCAUAGAGACGUAAUUAGGCUCCGCCCACGCAUUUCCAAUCGUCGCUGGUGAAAUCCAUGAAGACGUCGCCAUUAUCCUCGUGUGGCUUUGAAAGGCCAAACGCUUUUGCAUGUUCCAGGUAAAAUGUUGGUCCAGAUCAAGUACAACGAACAGCAGAAGUAUGUGAAGCUGGAUUGCAUUGAAGGGAGGUUUGACUUCAUGCAAUUUCAAGUCAAAGUCAUUGAGAGAUUUUGUUUGCCACCUGAUGCAAAAGUAACAUACAGGGAUGCAACAGGGACAGAAGUCGAUGAAGAAAUAUUCAGUGACCUCAUUGGACAAGGCAAUGUGGUGCUGACUGUUUUCUCAAAUGACGAAUUUUCAGACUCUUUUUCUUCCACAUCUGAGAAGUCUGACAAAAGCAACAGUUCAAGUGCAUCGACUAUAAUCUUAGAUGAGGUCCCUAACAAGAGACAGAGAAAAGAGGACACAUCUGCACUGUCUGCAAAGCAGUUGGUCGAGGAUGUUCUUAAAUUGAAGUCUGGUGGUGAAGCAGUACUACAGGAGUAUCAAGAAACAGAAACCCUUACAGAUGCCACAAGAAGACAAAUGAUCAACAUUCUGGUGGCUCACAUGAUUGAUACACAUGGGCAACUCCCUACUAAAGCCAUCAGAGAACAGUAUGCUCUUGGCAUAGUGAUGAUGUUCCCUUCCCUCAGAGAUCCUUAUUCCAAGAAAGGAUAUGAACACUUUUAUGAUGCUGCAAGCAACACAGGAUACAUUGCUUGGCGUAUGAAAACAGUCCACAGGAAGAUUAGACGAGGAUCUUUGCCACUAGACAGCCCUCAUGAUGUUUCUCCAGGAGGCCCAAAAUGCCAAAGGGCUACUAAUUUUGAAGGGCAACUUGAUGGGGAUGCUUGCAGAGAGGCCAUUUCUUUGCUCAGCCACACUACAGAGAAGUCCCUAAUAUUCCAAAAGAUGAGAGAGACCUUUCAGCAUCGCCAGAAGCUUGUUAAAGAUCCAGGCUCUAGUGUUGAUAUCCUCUCCACCUUCCCAAGAUUCCUAGAUACAAAAGGCCUGGUUGAUCAAGACUUCACUCUCCUGUUUGACACCGAGACAUCCUCCAGGCUGCUUCAGAAGUGGGACACGUUCUUCAGGCCAAAUGUCAUUAGAGAGGCCAAGCAACUUACUUCAACAGCAGAGCUGAGUCAGUUGUUGCUCUCAGCAGAAUGUCCUAAAGGAAGUGACCUUCAUGAAACAAUCUACGACCAGGAAAUGGCAUCCCUUCUUUUACUGAUACAUCUCCUUCCACCAUCACCAGGAGGACCGAAGUCUCCAAAAAUCAGUGCAUGUGAUGCUGCUGAAAGACUUGUAAUCUUUCAUAAGUCAUGCUGCAGUUUGGAGGAGCACCUCAACAACAUCCAGCAUCAGCAUCCCUACCUCCUUGCUGUUGGACGCCAGAAAAGCAAGACUGAGUGCUUCUACAUCAUCUUGGAUAAGCAUCUCAUCCCAUGCCAGGCAAACCGCUCCCUUGGAGCAUUUGAUGAACUUUUCAAGGCACAUUUUGUGUUCAAUUUAUCCUAUGAUAGUGCACUUCUAAACUUUUACACAUUCCUGCAGACAACAGUGUAUAACAUUGAUGUAGGUAAGAUGAAGGAGUCUCCCAGGGUUAGAGAUUUGAGAGCCAGACUGCUCAACCAGACAGUAACCUUAACUUAAAGUCGGGCAGUAUGAUGUUGACAGAAUGCUGAUCUGUUUUAUUUGUCAAAAAGAGCACCCAGAGAGUCAACAGUUGAUUUCCCAUUUAAGAGGUGAACAUAGUUAUUAUCCUGGAUCUAAGUUCAAAUUAAUUUGUUCUCAGCAAGGUUGUAGGCAUCAGUUCCAAACAUAUGCAGGUUUUCGUAAGCACCUUAAUAGUGUUCAUAGCAGCAUUCAGCUGAUUGCUCCAACUUCAACUGUUGGAUGUUCCUCAAGUGAGCCAGUUGCAAGCUCAUCUCAUGCUUUGGAGGACCUUAUGAAUCCCCAGCAUUUAUCUCCUUGUUCCAGUGCUUUAUCUGAUAACAAUGAUUCAGGGCUUACUAAAAAUUCAACUAAAGAAUUGUGUGAAUCCAUUGUGGCCAAAAUACAAGCAAGUGGGAUUUCAAACAGUUUGGUGUCCUCAAUUGUCGGAGAUUUAGAGGAGCUAACAGAUGAGCUUAACUCUCAGGCAAAGCAUAACAUACUUUCUGCUUUGCCUACAAAUGACCCCC